GGCGUUUAUCGGGAGAGGGCUCUGUCUGGCGUGCUCCAGUUGUUGGCACUAAACGGCAACUUGUAAGCGGCGUCGGCCGUGCUGUGUGUGUGUGCGCAACUUUGUGGAGAUUGAGGAGUGUGGUGUCUGCUCUCUGCCCUCACCGCAAGAUGGUGACUGUGUUGGGCUGUGGGUUAAGCUCUCGUCGCUCGGUUGUUGAGGCCACAGUUGGUGCCUCCUCUUUCUCGUGCGCCUUGUGUGGAGCAGCGUUGCGCCAUCCGGUGACUGUGUUGGGCUGUGA